UUGUGUACAUUUCCAUAAACCCAACUAGAAGAUAUGGACUGUAGUUCUUAUUUUUGUUGACUAUUAUUGUUCGAGAAAGAAUUACACAAAUUUUAACGCUUUACCGCUUGACCACACCGUAUAUAAAUACAAACUUUAUACUACUUUAUAAUAUAUUAUUUAAUUAAAUUUUUGCUUUUAGGAGCCGGUAGAUGGAAAUGAGGUGGACCACCACGGUUUUCAACUUUACAAAAUGGCAGAGGAAGUACAAGAGGGACCUUUUUUUUUUUUUUUCCAUCUAAAAGUAUAUUAUUACCAAAGAUAAAAAACUACAAAAGAUGCCACAGAAACAGGCCCAACUAUUAUCAAACAAAAGAAAGACCACAAACAGUCCAUCAUAAAACAUCCAAGAAGGAGGCCCAAGAUUAAGGCCCGAAACAGAACCCCCUCCCCAAAAAACACGUACACAACACGUGUACAACGACGAAGGCGAACGUAUCCGACGCACAGGAAACCGUCUCCUGCCUCCACCGACCAAAUCUUACGCCGGCGCCCAAACCCAUCGGCGCCGUAUCAAACACCGUCUUCACCGGUUAACACAUCACCGGACCUAAUCAGUACCCACCAGAAUUCAACCGAAACGAGGAGCCACGCCAAUUCUUCCACCACUUUCACCUCUUUCAGAAACACACUCCACCGUAUCCCACCGGAGCCAAAUCGGGAAAACGAUUUUCCAUCAUUGUUUCCGGCCUCAAACUUCUCAAUCGAUCCAAACAAAGCGAUCGAUCACCGGAUUCCACCGGAAACCAAAGCCGAAUGAUUUCGCUUAGAAGAUCGCGAAAACAUCGGAGUCAAAGCCAGCUACACCGCGUCAUAGAGACCACCGUGCACCGGAAUCGUUGUCGUGAACCAGAAAGGAGACAGAAAACGGGACCACCGCGACUUUCUCUAUCUCUCAAAAAAUUUUAUGAGAGAAGGGAGAGAGAGUCUACCAUCUCCGUUUUCCAACCAUUAUCGUCUUUAAUUCUCAAGAGGGACCUUAGAAAUUAAUAAAAAUGUAAAACAUAAAGAUUAAUCUCAGCUUUUUAUUUAGAAGAAAAAAAAAACUGAAUGUACUUAAGAGAGUUUAAAAUUAGGGACAAGAUUUCGAUGCAGGAUGGGCAGUUAAUGUGACUGGUGUAGUCUAUUAUUAUUAUUGGCAUUCAUGUAUGUGACUGGUGUAUCUAGAGUCGCACGUUUGAGUAUUUGACAUCUAUCCCG
rnacentral:lncRNA from 1 species